rnacentral:miRNA from 1 species
AUCCGUCCAUUAAUGUAUUAUAAGUAAUAACAUCAAGUUCCACAUCUGAUUUUACCAUGGAAGCUAUCACAAUUUUAGCUUCUUUAAUCUUUCCUUCCUUACAUAAUGCAUCAACCAAUAUGUUA